rnacentral:tRNA from 1 species
GGCGGGGUAGCUCAGUUGGUUAGAGCGUGGGACUCAUAAGCCCGAGGUCGUGGGUUCGAUCCCCACCCCCGCUACCA